rnacentral:rRNA from 1 species
GAUUAUGGCUCAGGAUGAACGCUAGCUACAGGCUUAACACAUGCAAGUCGAGGGGAAACGAUAUUGGAAGCUUGCUUCCGAUAGGCGUCGACCGGCGCACGGGUGAGUAACGCGUAUCCAACCUGCCCAUCACUUGGGGAUAACCUUGCGAAAGUAAGACUAAUACCCAAUGACGUCUCUAGAAGACAUCUGAAAGAGAUUAAAGAUUUAUCGGUGAUGGAUGGGGAUGCGUCUGAUUAGCUUGUUGGCGGGGUAACGGCCCACCAAGGCAACGAUCAGUAGGGGUUCUGAGAGGAAGGUCCCCCACAUUGGAACUGAGACACGGUCCAAACUCCUACGGGAGGCAGCAGUGAGGAAUAUUGGUCAAUGGGCGAGAGCCUGAACCAGCCAAGUAGCGUGCAGGAUGACGGCCCUAUGGGUUGUAAACUGCUUUUAUAAGGGAAUAAAGUGAGUCUCGUGAGACUUUUUGCAUGUACCUUAUGAAUAAGGACCGGCUAAUUCCGUGCCAGCAGCCGCGGUAAUACGGAAGGUCCGGGCGUUAUCCGGAUUUAUUGGGUUUAAAGGGAGCGCAGGCCGGAGAUUAAGCGUGUUGUGAAAUGUAGACGCUCAACGUCUGCACUGCAGCGCGAACUGGUUUCCUUGAGUACGCACAAAGUGGGCGGAAUUCGUGGUGUAGCGGUGAAAUGCUUAGAUAUCACGAAGAACUCCGAUUGCGAAGGCAGCUCACUGGAGCGCAACUGACGCUGAAGCUCGAAAGUGCGGGUAUCGAACAGGAUUAGAUACCCUGGUAGUCCGCACGGUAAACGAUGGAUGCCCGCUGUUGGUCUGAAUAGGUCAGCGGCCAAGCGAAAGCAUUAAGCAUCCCACCUGGGGAGUACGCCGGCAACGGUGCAACUCAAAUGAAUUGACGGA